rnacentral:rRNA from 1 species
AGAGUGAACGCUGGCGGUAGGCCUAACACAUGCAAGUCGAACGGCAGCACAGUGGUAGCAAUACCAUGGGUGGCGAGUGGCGGACGGGUGAGGAAUACAUCGGAAUCUACCUUUUCGUGGGGGAUAACGUAGGGAAACUUACGCUAAUACCGCAUACGCCCUUCGGGGGAAAGCCGGGGAUCGCAAGACCUGGCGCGGAUAGAUGAGCCGAUGUCGGAUUAGCUAGUUGGUGAGGUAAUGGCUCACCGAAGGCGACGAUCCGUAGCUGGUCUGAGAGGAUGAUCAGCCACACUGGAACUGAGACACGGUCCAGACUCCUACGGGAGCAG